AUUGAACGCUGGCGGCAUGCCUUACACAUGCAAGUCGAACGGUAACGGGCCUUCGGGUGCCGACGAGUGGCGAACGGGUGAGUAAUGCAUCGGAACGUACCUUUCAGUGGGGGAUAACGUAGCGAAAGUUACGCUAAUACCGCAUAUUCUGUGAGCAGGAAAGCAGGGGAUCGCAAGACCUUGCGCUGAUUGAGCGGCCGAUGUCAGAUUAGCUAAUUGGUACGGUAAAGGCUGACCAAGGCGACGAUCUGUAGCGGGUCUGAGAGGAUGAUCCGCCACACUGGAACUGCGACACGGUCCAGACUCCUACGGGAGGCAGCAGUGGGGAAUUUUGGACAAUGGGGGCAACCCUGAUCCAGCCAUGCCGCGUGAGUGAAGAAGGCCUUCGGGUUGUAAAGCUCUUUCGGCCGGGAAGAAAUCGUAUGGGCUAAUACCCUGUGCGGAUGACGGUACCGGCAUAAGAAGCACCGGCUAACUACGUGCCAGCCGCCGCGGUAACAC
rnacentral:rRNA from 1 species